rnacentral:misc_RNA from 1 species
AAAUGCGAUAAGUAAUGUGAAUUGCAGAAUUCCGUGAAUCAUCGAAUCUUUGAACGCACCUUGCGCUCCUUGGUAUUCCUUGGAGCAUGCCUGUUUGAGUAUCAUGAAAUCUUCAAAGUAAAUCUUUUGUUAACUCAAUUGGUUUCUACUUUGGUAUUGGAGGUCUUUGCAGCUUCACACCUGCUCCUCUUUGUUCAUUAGCUGGAUCUCAGUGUUAUGCUUGGUUCCACUCGGCGUGAUAAGUUAUCUAUCACUGAGGACACUGUAAAAGGUGGCCAAGGUAAAUGCAGAUGAACCGCUUCUAAUAGUCCAUUGACUUGGACAAUACUUUUAUGAUCUGAUCUCAAAUCAGGUAGGACUACCCGCUGAACUUAAGC